ACAGGAGAAAAAAUGAGUACGUCUCCUAUACUUUCGAAAGUACAGAGGCCUCCGUGUUUAUAAGUUGUUUUUUAAUGAUGGAGCAUCUGAUUCGGCGAUCGGCUUCAUUAGGCAUAAUCUACACAAUUAGAACUAUUUGGAAACUAAAUUUCAUAAUUUUUCAAUAUCAUUUACCAAGUGAUUAAAGAAUAUCAAAAAUGACUAUUUUAACGACCGAUGUGGCACGUUUGAAAGUUCAACGGUGUAGAAGAAUACAAAUUACAUGAAAUUUUUUAAGAAAAUUUUGCUUAAUAUCAAGAGUAAGAACAAUACUUUUGAUUUGAAAUAUGAGUCUUUUAUCAUUAUUUUUUGUGAGAUUUUUAUUUUCAGCCGUUCAUUUUGAGCCUACUUGUUCACUAGGUAAAUGAAAUUAAAAAUUUAUGAAAUUUGGUUUCUAAAUAGUUCCAAUAACGUAGAUCAUGUCUAAUGCAGCCGAUCACCGAAUCGGAUGCUCCAUUAUCGAAAAUAACUUAUAAGUAUGAAGGCCUCCAUACUUUCAAAAAUAUAGAAGCCUAGCUCAGAAAAAAUAAUAUAGCAGUUAAUUCAGUUGUCAUAUUAUCUAAAAAACGGUGCGGUGACUAAUACAUCUCGCAAUUCUAAACGAAACAU
rnacentral:lncRNA from 1 species